rnacentral:rRNA from 1 species
UACGAAGGGGGCUAGCGUUGCUCGGAAUCACUGGGCGUAGAGGGUGCGUAGGCGGGUCUUUUAAGUCAGGGGUGAAAUCCUGGAGCUCAACUCCAGAACUGCCUUUGAUACUGAAGAUCUUGAGUUCGGGAGAGGUGAGUGGAACUGCGAGUGUAGAGGUGAAAUUCGUAGAUAUUCGCAAGAACACCAGUGGCGAAGGCGGACUCACUGGCCCGAUACUGACGCUGAGGCACGAAAGCGUGGGAGCGAAC